rnacentral:rRNA from 1 species
GACGAACGCUAGCGGCGCGCUUAACACAUGCAAGUCGAGCGGAAAGGCCCUUCGGGGUACUCGAGCGGCGAACGGGUGAGUAACACGUGAGCAACCUACCCUUGGCUUUGGGAUAACCCCGGGAAACCGGGGCUAAUACCGAAUACCCACGCACUGCCGCAUGACGGUGCGUGAAAAGUUUUUCGGCUGGGGAUGGGCUCGCGGCCUAUCAGCUUGUUGGUGAGGUAACGGCCCACCAAGGCUUCGACGGGUAGCCGGCCUGAGAGGGCG